GAUGAACGCUGGCGGCGUGCCUAAUACGUGCAAGUCGAGCGAACGGACGAGAAGCUUGCUUCUCUGAUGUUAGCGGCGGACGGGUGAGUAACACGUGGAUAACCUACCUAUAAGACUGGGAUAACUUCGGGAAACCGGAGCUAAUACCGGAUGAUAUUUUGAACCGCAUGGUUCAAAAGUGAAAGACGGUCUUGCUGUCACUUAUCGAUGGAUCCGCGCUGCAUUAGCUAGUUGGUAAGGUAACGGCUUACCAAGGCAACGAUGCAUAGCCGACCUGAGGGGGGGGUCGGCCACACGGGAAGUGAAACGCGGUCCAUGCGCCUACGGGAGGCAGCAGUAGGGAAUCUGCGGCAGUGGUCGAAAGCCUGACGGAGCAACGCCGAGUGAGUGAUGGAGAUCUUCGGAUCGUAAAACUCGGUUAUUAGGGAAGAACAUAUGUGUAAGUAACUGUGCACAUCUUGACGGUACCUAAUCAGAAAGCCACGGCUAACUACGUG
rnacentral:rRNA from 1 species